UACGAAGGGUGCAAGCGUUACUCGGAAUUACUGGGCGUAAAGGGUGCGUAGGUGGUCGUUUAAGUCCGUUGUGAAAUCCCUGGGCUCAACCUCGGGCCUGCAGUGGGUACGGGCAGACUAGAGUGCGGUAGGGGAGAUUGGAAUUCCUGGUGUAGCGGUGGAAUGCGCAGAUAUCAGGAGGAACACCAAUAGCGAAGGCAGCUCGCUGGGACGUUACUGACACUGAGGCGCGAAAGCGUGGGGAGCGAACAGG
rnacentral:rRNA from 1 species